UUGCUGGAGCUCACAGUUCCUCAACACUGCAGAUAUGACGCCUCUGUUCAUCUCAGUGUUGCUGGCUGCUGUGUGCCUUGAAUGCAGAGCACAAAAAGACAACGUGCUGCAACCAGAAGGAGACGUGACUGCUGCUGAAGGAGAGACAGUAACACUUGGCUGUCUAUAUAACAGCAGUUCAACAAAUAAUUAUCUCUUCUGGUACAAACAGGAUGGAAACAACAGCCCCAAAUUCAUGUUGAGCCGCAUGCAAGGGGUCGAAGUAAAAACAGAGGCUGAGUUUAAGGAGAGAUUUUCAUCCACACUGGAUUCCACCUCUAGAUCAGUUCCUCUGAAGAUCCAGAAGCUUCAGCUGUCUGACUCUGCUGUGUACUACUGUGCU